ACAGAACAAAGCAAAGACUGAUAGUAUUUAUUGGUUAAAAAAAAAAAAUGUUCUGUAUACAUUCUGAAUCAAGUUAAAUUACCUUCUUGCAGGGAAAGCUUCUGAGAGUCUCUGGCCACAGUUUACUUCUACAAACAGUAAGAAAAAGAAAAGGCUACGGACAGGUAUUCCAAUUACAAAUGCAACAGUAACAUUUGACGAUUCUCAGAACAACAAAGACAUUUUCAGAUCAAGGGCACUGUAGCUGCCAUUCUGACAGGAAGGCAAACAACAACAUCCUUUCAGUCAUCCAGUCUGUAGGCAGCUGAUUCAGAAUGAAUUUAGGGCAGAUGAGUAAGAAAUGAAUGAGAAGAAAAUUUAGCAGUGAUGCUUCAUUCAGCCAGCAGAAUGCUCUUCUAAAUACUUGUGCUCUCCAUUCCUUAGUGAUGGUCCUGAAGUGCUCCUGGCUUGUACAGAGCAAUGUUGCUAUUCCAAAGAGCAGAUAAUGAUAGUAAUGAACUCACAAAUAAAAAUGUUAAAAUUCACAGAUGCCUGUGGCCAGAAAGAAACUACAGGAGUGGAGGAACAAUCUGUGAAGAAGGAAUUAUUCACAAUAAGUUAUUAAGUUAUGGCAGGAAUAUCAGUUGAUUAAACAGUAUGAUAGCAUUUUCCUUGCAACAGUUUUUGACUUCUUUAAGGUGUGUUUCUUUCAUAAAAUCUACCAGGGAUUUGCCUGUAUAGAGUAGCUUUCAGGAUGUGCUUUUGCUUGAGCGUGGGGUUUUGCUCAACACUAUUUCUUGGUUGUACCAGUGAAUUCUGCAAAUCUGGAGCCAGUCUCCAGUGUGCUUUGUGUGGAUAGACUAUACUGUGUGAAGGCCUCA